GCAACAGCAACAUCAACAGCAGCAGCAGCAGCAGCAACAUGACUUAGGAAACCAACUGUUGAAUGGACUUAGAGCAGCAAACAGCUUCAAUAACCUUCAGUAUGACUGGAAACCAUCUCAAUAAAGAUAGAACAUUACAAGUUCGACAACACGGCUGCUCUCAUUGGCCUCAUUGCUUAUGAAGCAUCAGUAAGAGUGCCAACACCUCGAACUGUGUCAAAGCAUUUGGCCUUUGCAAUAAUGCUGUCAUGGAAAAAGGUCAUUCGCGACAGCAAGCAUCUGAGCCUGUCAACUGUAUGUUGUAAUUGUUCGUUUAGCUGCUUGUGUGUUGUGCAACUAUGGCAUUUUGCUGCUUGCUUCAGUUGUCUUACCGAAAGAUAGAGUUAAAAGGAUUAGAGCCUUGCCUGCACCUGUUGCUAUCCUUUGAUGGUACGGUGUUACUUCUUACCCGGAAAAGAAGUUUUACCUCCCUUUUUUUCCAUGUCAGAUGACAUCCGAUAUGUAAUUUAUCGUCCCCUCCACCUUCCGCCCUUAGCAAGCAUAUGUUCUGAUAUCUUUCUUUGCCUGGGGAUUCUCUCUUUGUAGCCUUACUUGACUUUGUAUAAGCUGCCAUAAUUUAGUAGUGGAAAAAAGUAUCAGGAAUGUUUUCGUAGGCUUGUCGCGAGAUCUGACUGGCAAGAAAACUGGCAUUCUUUCUUUUUGAAAGAUUUCAACCAUUGUGGUGGAGAUUUUUCUUGAAAUAUUCAGGUUGACCUGCAUAUGUUGUCCAUCUUGUUUCUGUUGCAGCCAUAGAGUUGCUCGUUACAAUGAAACCCUGCAUAAGGCAAGGGACUUCCAUACUGUCAUUACAAUGAAGAUUAUCUGUGUGUAAAAUGCAAGAUUGGCCAGGCCAUGAUGUAUCUUGGCUGAUGGGUUUCAAGUGCUGAUGAAUUUUGCUGACAUGUAGUUGUUGCACCUCGUUUGGUUAAGAUAAAAUGUUGUCAAGUACGUAGUGAAUUAACAAAGUUAUAGGCAACAGUAUCAUCAUGAUCACAGUUAUAAAAACCGUGUUUUUGUUGGGGGUUUGGACCUGUGAAUCCUGCUUAUAUAUUUAUGACACUGGCUGUACGGCCAAUUUUUCUAGUAGAAAACCCACUAAAUCAAUAAUAAACAAGAGUUUGGUGGGUUUAAGCUACCCAGUUUUGCUGAUACUAUUGAUGGUGUAUCAGCAUUCAAGAUACAUCAAGAGCUUUCAGAAGAGUUUGGUGGAUGUAUGACCAGUUUUGCAAAUACCCGGUUUUAAAGUUUGAUGGUGUAUUUUAGACAAAGCGAAGAGUUAAGGGUCGUAAAUUGAAAUUAUCCCUCACCACCCACCACCUCACUGGCUAGGCGGAAUAAGUUCACUUCAUGACCCUCAACUGUGAUCGAAAUCUAAUCCAUGACCAUAAACCACAAAACCGGAUAUCUUGACCCUUAAACUCCUAAAACCGGUGCAAUUUGACUCCCUGGACAGUUUUGGGAGGCGGUUUUGCUGACAUGGCGCCACGUGGCACCUACGUGGCAAUAUUGACCGAGUCUUCGUUCCACAUGGCGUUGACGUGGCAUCUACGUGGCGGUGGAAAUAAAAAAUAUGCGUGGGCCCAUUAGUCAUUCACACAAAAAGAAAUGUGGGCCCACUGACAUGUGGGGCCCACAUGUCAGCCCUUCUUCCUCCAGCCUCUCUCUCCCUUCUCUCUUUCUCUCCCCUUCUUCCCCUUCAGCGGACGGCGGGCUGCGAGAACGAGCGGUGGCGGCGCGCAAUUGAGGGCCGUAGCGACGACGACAGGACGGGCGAGGGCAGGAGCAGCGAGCCGUGCAGCCACCGCCACCUUGACACAUCUCCCCGCCGUCGCGCCGCCGGCGCUCGCGGCGCCCAUCCACCGUCCACCUGCUGCCGCCGCCGCCGCAUGCGCCAGAGGGAGGCCUAGCACGCUCGCGGAUCCCUCCUCCUCCUCCUCGCCUCGCCCGACGACGACGCGGCUUGCAGCGAUGCAUCGCACGAUACGGCCACGCUGCCUCGACCCGACAGCGUGGCCCUCCGCCUCUCAUCCGCCUCCUUCUCCGGUGACGGCGCAGCGCGGCGCUGAGGCUGGGCGGCGACGCCCUGGAGGCGGCCUGGGCGGCGUUGGGUGGCCCGGCCAGGUGGCGCACGACGGAAGGGGAAGAGGCGACACGGGGAGGUGGCCGGCUCGGCCGUGCACGGAGGCGGCGCCCGCGCAGCAGACUUGGCUGUGCGUGGCGGCGGCGGUUCAGCGACGAGCUCGAGCUGGGCUCGGGUGUGGUGAUGACGAUGGCUUGGGCGGAUGAAGACGGCGGCGACGGCGGCUUCGAUGGUGGACGACGCCAAGGCACCGACAUUGGCGAGGUGGAGUCGGGGCUCCAUGUCGCCGGCGUGAGGAGAGAAAGAGAGAGAAGGGAGAGAGGGAUGAGGAAAAAGGGAAAAGAGAGGAUCACACGUGGGCCCCACAUUCCAGUGGGUCCCACAUUUUUUUUUGUGUGAAUGAUAAAUGGGUCCCACACAUAUUUUUAAAAUUUGAGUGCCACCUAACCGCCACGUCAGCGCCACGUGGAAGGAAUACCGGGUCAAUACCGCCAUGUAGGUGCCACGUCAACGCCACGUGGAACAAAGACUCGGUCAAUAUUGCCACGUAUGUGCCACGUGGCGCCAUGUCAGCAAAACCGCCUCCCAAAACCUCCCAGGGAGUCAGAUUGCACCGGUUUUAGAAGUUUGGGGGUCGAGAUAUCCGGUUUUGUGGUUUAGGGUCAUGGAUUAGAUUUCGAUCACAGUUAAGGGUCACGAAGUGAACUUAUUCCCUGGCUAGGCUAGCUGCGAGGAUUUGUUGGGCCAGGUCAGCGAAACAUAGGCCCAUCGAUCUGGUAGUUGGGCCGUGUGCAUAUUCAGCAUGCUGGCCCACACUGCACGCCCAAGCUUGGUAGGUCAAAGUAGAAGCUGGACCUAGAGCUUAGGUCAACUUAUUGUUAGUAUUGUAUUUAUAAGGCAUAUUUUAUUUUAGUUUUACAAAGUCAAAAUAUUCUUCAAGACCUCAACUUGGUAACCCGUCUGUGUUGAAAGGAAUAAGACCAAUUCGUAUGAACGAUGCCGAAAACUUAGGAUGAAAAUGGUCCAAAACGGUAUUGCUUUUUUAUUAUUUCUACGGAAACGGUUGAUUUUUUUUCAUAUUUAUAAACUUAACUCUUCAGUAUCAGCUUUAAUAUUGUGACGUUGACAGAAAUUAGAAAACUAAAAUUUUAAAAGAUAAUAGUCGAUAGAGAUAUUAUCAUUAUAUUACUUUUCUGUAAACAAUAUCCGUACAGUCGAUAAAGAAAUUAUCCGUAUGGUUGGAAAAUUUCUAUACCAUUUUCACCCCCACCCAAAAGGGUAGAGAACUGGGAUUUUGCAAGCACAAUCAUCUGGUUCAUGUUCAUACAUAUUAAACAAAUUCUGCCUAUCUUAAUCAACGCCUUUUUUUUGCCCAAAUGAAUUGUCCCUGUCAACUAAAAUCUGGUAAAUUAAUAAGUGCUCUGAAAUAUUGCAGCUUACUAUUCAUCAUUUAUAGAAAAGAAGUAGGACUAGCAUUUAGUCUCGUCAUGCGGGUCAAUGAAUUUGGGCUUAAUUUGAUCUUUGAACACAUGGGACCGAGUUGAAUCUUCAGAGAAAGAGAAACAAGAAUAUAUAGCAGUUGGAAAAAUACGGAGGACUAAUUCGUCAGUCAAGAUCGUUCUUCUGAACAUGGACUUUUUUUUAAUUAAUAUGCUGUUAGUUAAUUUGGUAGCAGCCGGCGUUGAUCCUCUGAACAAAUUAACAAACUGAACUUCUUAGGAUUCCUGGAAAGGAGAAACGAAAAAAAAAAAAGAAAAGGCAAAAGCACCAUGCGGUUUCAGUUGAUCUGUCGCUGUUCUUGAGGUACACGUUUGCAUAUAUGUUGUGGUGUCAGAUUAUUUUAUUAAAUUAAGAGGACCACAAAAGUUAAGAACCCUUACUAACUGCUGCUCUCUCCAUCUAAAAUACUGUUAGCUCGAAGCUUGUUCCACAAAGAAGCUCUCUCUAAGAUGGGUUUCACUACUUUCUAAUAAUAUUUCAAUUUAUUUUAUUAUUUUAGUUAUCGAAUCAAAAGGUAUUUCACCCUUCUCUUUGUUUUCUUCUCCUCUACUCCAUCCAUUAAAAAAAUAACUAACCUCGUAUUAGAAACUAUAUCCAGAUGUCACAUUCUAGUACGAGAUUAAUUUUUUUUCUAUGGGGAGUACGUUUCUUCUCCGCAUUAACGAAAGUCAUGAUAGUCUUUUAGUCUCUUAUGUAAUUUACCUUAUAACUAGCUAAAACAACGGUAUUUUAGAGACGGAGAGAAUUUAGAUAACAACCUUCUCUUUUUUUUCUUUUGCUUCCAUUUGCUUACCAGGAUUGUUGCUGUUGAUUAUUAGCUAGCUCUCUCCUAUUUUUGUGUGUUUCGUAGCAAACAAUGCUUGCCUGAUAUGUGUGCAUCAGUACAUGUGUGGAGCACAUCAUUUUCACUUAAUUAAUCAUAGAUGUAUGCUAUACUUACAGUAUAUAUUGGUGCAUGAUGCAUGUGCGUGUUUACUGUAUUUAAGACAAUCAAUGAAUAAUAGCUAGAUCAUAAUUGUGUGACUGUUGCUCGAAUAACUUUCGUCCUCGAUCGACUCAUCUAAAAGAGGCAAGCCUUUUGCAAGACACCAUAGCCCAUUUGUUUCGGUUCAUCUUAAUUUUUAACUUCCUCCUUCCUAUAAUAUAGCAAUCUAAAAUCAGAUAGUACGUAUCUUGCUGCUAAGAAUCUGGCUUGAUUCGUAAUACUAGAUUACGUCAUAUCCAAUCCUAUGUUGCUAUAUUAUGGGAAGUAGGGAGUACUUCUUUAUAAUUAUAUAUGUACAUUUUGGUCAGUCUAAUUUCCGUUCCUUAGUACAUACAAUUAGUUCAAAAUCGACUAUUAUGUUUCAGAAAAAAAAAAUCUAUGGUGUAUUUGGCAAAACUGAAAGUAACUAUCUCUUUGUGUGGAAAUGUAUCAACCUUUUUGAACCAAAUCUUCAACCUUUUGCAAUCAAACUAUACAAAAUACAACCGAUGCUUCACGUUGGGGCUUUUCUAUUGGCCCAAGUUCUCAAGAUACUUUGCAACUUUACUUGGUUAGCAAGGGACAAUAGAGUUGGCAUGUGGUUUUUUAUUAGCUCACAAUUAGAGCUAAUGAUCUACUCCAACAUUAGUUUUGUACCUGUGUACUACUCUACCUACCAACCAACAUAUGGCCUUAAUUUGCUUUUGGCACAAUUGACUCAUGCUACUCAUAUAUAUUCUAAACUAUAUUAUUAUUAAGGUUGAAAUCAGCAAUGACCUUUGUUGGUCGCUAGCCAUCAAAUGAAUGGAACCUUCCAAUGAAGAUCAAACUGGGGAUUCUGAAUAUAUCCAAUGAAAAGGAUAGCAAUCCAUCCAUUGAUGCAAUGAAGGAAGAGGUUAGUUGGUGAUUAUUUAACUAGAGGCUUAAGUUAAUCUAUGUACGAGUAAUCCAGAUUAAUUGGUGACAGUAACAUAGAGGCUUAGCAUCCAACCAACUCUGAUUAUUAUUAAAUUACGAUUCAUAAUAAUACAACAAGAGUACGUGGUACACCUGUAAGGCUUAGGAUGGAUGGAAUAUCAUGAUCUCAGCUUGCCUGUUCCAUGUGAGCAUAAUUCCUCCACCCAACUACAUUCAUGCACAUAUUAUAUGUGUGCUUGAGAAAUACUUCAAAAAAAUAUUAGCUAGGGCUCAUAAACAUGGAGCUCACUUGAUCCUUUUUUCUACAGAGAAGAACAUUAAUCAGCUACAGGAUGGCUCGAUCUGGUGGCAGAUCCUAUAGUUGUGGACCCAUAAAAAUUCUAGAGCACAAGCAAACUUAACUAUAUAUAGUAUAUUUGCUAUAAAGUUUUUAUUUUAUUUUCUUUAACUACAUAGAAUUUUAAUGAAUUAUUCGUCGACGAGCCUGGAUGGCCACCCAGGUUCACCGGGUGGGUGUCGAUGGAAGAGCCACCUCCUGAGCACCAUGGUUAGCUGCUAAAAACCGCUAUGGAAAAUUGUACAUAGCAAGUAAAACUUUCAUGCAAUACUCAAUCUUUGAGUAAUUUUUAGAAAAACUACAGACAUUUUGACUAAACUAUCACAAAAAUAUAGAAUUCAAGACGGUGUAUCAUAGAACGGUAGAUUUAGCAUCAAAAUUAUCAUGAAACUACAUAUUUAAGUGAAGCAUCACAAAACUAUAAACUUAAUACUAAAUUUAUCAUUAAACUAUAUAUUUAAGUGGAGCAUGGCAAAAUUAUAGGAUCAAUUUAAUCAUAAAAAAUGCAAUGUUUAUAAAACCAAGGGGACAGUGGAUCUAGGGCUCAAGAUCUGAAUUUUUUUUAUCGGAUGUCUCCGAAGAGACAAAUCUGUAGUUUUUUAAUAUAUAAUUUAUCACUAAAUUUGUAGUUUUGUAUAAAUUCAAUGUUAAAUUUUUAGUUUUGUGAUACAUCCUUUUAAUAUAUAUAGUUUUGUGAUAGUUUGAUUGAAGUAUAUAAUUUUUUAAAAAUAUGAUCAGUUUCAAAUGACGCGGUAUAAUAUAUAAUUUAUCACUAAAUUUGUAGUUUUGUAUAAAUUCAGUGUUAAAUUUUUAGUUUUGUGAUACAUCCUUUUAAUAUAUAUAGUUUUGUGAUAGUUUGAUUGAAGUAUAUAAUUUUUAAAAAUAUGAUCAGCUUCAAAUAACGCAGUAUAGUACUACCUCUGUAACAAAUUAAAACAUGUCGUUUCAGGUAUGUUUUAAUUUAAACUUAUAAAAAUUUAAGCAUCAAUAUCUUGUAAAUAUUCAGAUUAAAUGCAUGCUAAAUUGCAAAUCAUACAUUUAGUUCCACUUCCACCAAAAGUACUUUCUUAUUGUUAUAAUUUUAGUAGGUUAGACAAAUAUCUCAUAAUACACAUCAGAUAUGUAUUUGUGAAAUUUGGAUUAAAAAACAUAUCAUAACAUAAAUUUGUGAUCAAAUUUCAUUUCUAAGACUGCAUCCAGUGCAGGACAACAUGUUUUUAUGACCAGAAGUAUCUCCGACGCGCGAGAUCGAUCGGCUGCUCAAGCCCCACAUUACCAUUAACCACAACAACUAAUAAUUAAUUAGGCCACCAACACCAUGUGCCAGCUAGGCCAUGAAAAUGAAAACCCCCAAAAGUACACCAAAAGGGCCCCCCACACCACACAAAACCGGUACUGGGAACUGGGAAAAAUUCUGUUUAACAGUCCGGAUUGACAUCCACCCGCUGCAGUCAUUUGCAUCUUAGCUCUUGUAGUUUGACUCUUCUGUGUUGCUACUUCCAUUCUAAAAUAUGCUAAUCUUCGUCCCAAAUAUAAAAAAAUAAUAUCAGAUAGAAUGUAUUCUAAUAUUACGAAUCUAGAUAAACACUAUGACCAAAUUCGUAGUAUUAAGAUAUGUCUCAUCCAGUUCUAAAUUCUUAUAUUUUAGGAUAAAGGGAGUGAUAACUUUUAACUUUUGACAUAACUAUUGAAAAAUGAUAGAAAUACUUAUUUAUUUUCUCAGGAAUAGAUAACUUAAUUAUAACCUUGAACUCUAAUAAAGACUAGUGAUAAAAGGAUAGUAUUGGGUAGUUUAGUGAUAAAAAUCAUCUUUUACAAGUACUAGGUUACUCCAAAAUUAUUAUAUUUCGAGACGGAGAGAGUAUUAAUAUAGCAAGAGGACAUUGCAAUGGCAAUACAACAAUGCACACACACUGUCAGUUGUCAAAUCCCCUUGGCCAUUGGGACCCCAUGGCCCUAAGCUUUGCAAACAUGCAAGAUCACUUCAGUUUUUUUUUUUCCAAGCAUAGAGAGAAGCCAAGGGGAUGAGGAGAUUCCCCAUGGCUCCAACUCAGAUCGGCUGUCUCCCAAUCUGCUUGGCACCCCGGCAUGAUUUGGAUAUGACCUGCGGCCAACUGCUCCAUGUCCAUUAAAUCCUUCCUUCCUUUCUACUUCUUCUCCCUAGUAGAGGUGGUGCAAAUCGGUGCGUCUAAAAUAUAUGAAAUUCAAAGGAAACAAUCAUCUUUCAUGUAAAAGAAUAUAAUUGGGAUAUAAUUUUUUUCACCGUGAGUUUGUGAUGAUUUGCUCGAGAACGAUAUCAUUUCUACAUCAACGAUUCUUGGUCCGUGAUAUAUUUUUUUUCAUAUUUACCAAGUCAACUAAUGAUUUAUUUAGUGACAACUAUAAUAUGGUAGUGAUAGAUUCUUUUUUUUUAAUUUUUUUUAAUCUUUGGCUAAAAUAAAAAAUAUUACCACUUCUACAUAAAUGAUGCUCGGUCAAGAAAUUUUGCCACCGUUCUCAUCCCUAUUUGAUUGGCUUGCACUCACUAGAACCCAUGAAAAAUUUGUGGUGGCUGUGUCCAGCCAGGGUCAAUGCUAAGUCAAUUUGGAAAUCUGGAAUGGAAUGGAAUGCAUGAGCAAGAGCAUGAGGCUUUUCCGCCUUGAGUAAAUUUUGCCAAAGCCCACAUUUUAUUAAUGAUGUUUAACUUUGGAUCACCUUUUAAUCAUUGUUUUCAUUUUGGAUCGUAUAAACUUAUUUUUGCUUUACUUUAGACCACCCAACUCUCUUAUCAAACUAUAAACGAUCUCGAGUACCUCUGUGUUCUUACUCGUCAAUGAACUCUAGCAGCUAUAUGUAAGACUAUUUCUUUGACAUAUGACAAGUUGAAUGUAUAUAGAUAAAAUAGUUGAGGACCGGUGGUUUAAAGUGCCAUAAAGGUAUAAAUAUCCAGUCCAAAAUAAAAACAUUGGUUAAUCCAAAGUAAAAAAAAUCAGUAAUAAAAUAUGAUCCAAAGUGAAAUUUACUCUCUAGCCUUCUUGGUGCUGGAGAUAGACAGUGGUCCAUGUUUAAAGGCUAUGCCGUGGGCCAUGGGAACCAGGGAGAAACAGGUGCUGCACGCCUUUGACAACACGAAGGAGACCAAUCCGGUUUGUGUGGAUCAGAUGAUCAAGUGCUGGUGUAUACUUUGGCUUGGCAAUUAUCGGAAAUAAUGAACUAAUUCACUUGGCUUGUCUAUAUUUAGAUUGUUAAUGUUAUUAUAUAUAAAUGAAUGUAGAUUGAUACUCAAUUUAAUACUCCCAGCGUCAAAUAAAAGUGAUAGAAAGGAGUACAUUUAAAAAAAAUUGUAGAUUGGCAUUUUAAUCAUAUACUUUCUCCAUCCAUAAAACGAUCUCUAAGUUUAAAUCUGAAUAUAUAGGUCAUCUCUAGAUUCAGAUUCAGAAGUUCUUUUUAAUGAAAGGUGUAUAUGAGUGGAUGCAGAGUCAGGAAGGAUGAUGCAGCUAAUUAUGAAUUAUGAAGACUAAUAAUAAGACAAAAGUAGAUAGUUAAAUAUGAGAUAUUUGACCGAUUGAUGCAAGUAGUAAAAAUUUUAGUUCAUAUUUUAUUGAAAAUUAUAUGUAGGACCCUCCAAAUGCAAACUUCUCUAAUCCUAGAAAGUACCAAUUGUCUGCUUCUGAAAUAUAUAUAUCUACAGGGUGGCAGAAUAUCAAUGACUGAAAUGUCAAUUUAAAUGAUGGCAAACGACCUAUAGGGUGGCAGAAUACAAGUACUAACUAGUGGCUUUGGUAACAAGAGUAUACACACGUUGCUUUGGACAUGUCUUUGGUUUAAGCUUUUGAAUGGUUGAGUAUAUAUAUGCUUUACAUGGAUUGGAUAUAUAAAGUUUGCAUGUGUGUACACUUGAUCCCGCCCCCACCCCCAAAAUAACAACAAAAUAUAAAUCCAUUGACCUUUUGUAGUCAAUAAAAAUCUACGGUCAUAGUUGUAUUUUGAACACCAAGUUAUUGUCAAAGCGACAAGUAUUCCUCACCAAAGGUAGCAUUACUUAAUGCAUAUUAGCGUGCCCUUUAUGAAAAACAUUCAUAUGCACCUAAGCUUAUUAACAGAGAAGUGUUCAUGAAUUUGAUGAGCCCACUUAUAGAUAAACAAGAAUUAGAACCAUUUUCACAAUAUGUACUUUUUAAAACAACCUACAUACUGAUUCGGUGAAAUUGAGACCAAUCCAGGUAUAUCAAAACAACAUACAGUGUCAUAAAAGGAGAAGACCCAUGUCCAUGUAUGUGCCUAGACUCAAGUGGAUAGAAACAACUGAUGCUGUUGCAAGUCUUUUGGAGCACAUAUAUCCAACUCAAUAAGUUGAUUUUUGGCAGGUUCAAAGAAGUCCAUGCGCAUGGGACAACGAAAACCAUGUGGCCCACAGAAGUGAGCUUUGCACGAAUCUUGAAGCCCCCUGGCAUCUUCAGUUUGUCUACCCAACAAAAUCCUAGCUAGCUAACAUGUAGCAUGGGUCUAUUGUGUACAAUGGCAUGCAUGCUCCUUUAUCCUUCUUUGAAUUUUAGAAUUUCCUUCCUUGCUACUCUUAUAUUUUUGGAUUUAUCCAAUUCUCACUAGCUCUAGCUACUCCCUAUGUACAGGGUUUCAAUUAUUUAUAUCGCGAAACUUGCUCGUUUUCUAAAAACAGGGAAGACUAUACGGAAACAAACAUGGUAUGACAAAGAGAAAAGCAUGUACGAUACAAUAUAGUAAAAAUUACUGAAAUUUGGUUUUUUUUUUUAAUCGGCCACCAAUAUUCUAUAUGUUGAGCAUUGCGGAAACGAUCAAACCCCUCUAAUUCGAACCAUGCAUGUUUGAUGAGGAAAACACAAGCAAAAGUGAGAGUACAUCGUACUACUUGUGUCUUUCAAUUGUCUAUGGUGUUUAGUUCCCUUUAAACUUCCAAAAAUUCCGUCACAUCAAAUGUUUGGACAUAUGCAUAGGAGCAUUAAAUAUAGACGGAAAAAAAAUCAAUUGCACAGUUUGUAUGUAAAUCGCGAGACAAAUCUUUUGAGCCUAAUUACGCCAUGGUUUGACAAUGUGGUGCUACAGUAAAUAUUUGCUAAUGAUGGAUUAAUUAGGCUUAAUAAAUUCGUCUCUCAGUUUAUAGGCGGAAUCUGUAAUUUGUUUUGUUAUUAGUCUAUGUUUAAUACUUCAAAUGUGUGUCCGUAUACUUAAAAAUCUUUUUGACAGGGAACUAAACACGGCCUAUGCUUGACAAGAAAAAGAACAUAAGCGAAUGUGAGGUUACAUAAAUACUAGUUGGGUCUUUCAGUUGUCUAUGCUUGAAAAGAAAAACAUAAGCUAAGUACUAGUUGGGUCAAAAGUCUGAGGUUAGCUAAAGCAACAUAGAAAAAAAGAAUAAAAAGGGAAAGAAUUGAAAGGUGCAAUAGGAUUCUCAGUUAAUAACCCAACUUGAAGUUUACGUGGAUGAAUUAUUCCUACGUUAUAUUACUAAGUUAUCUAUAUAUACAAUUUCACCAAAUUUGGAUUGAUCCUUGUUGCUAAACUAGCAUUUAAGAACCGCUUUAAACAUAAAUACUUCCAAAAAGGACAUUUCAAAAUACCCGCCAAAACUUAAUUCGUAUUACACAACACGUCGAUCGUUAAAAAAAAACACUCAACUAUCCUAUAAAAAUACAAACACCAACAUUUCACACGACGCAAAUAAUAUAACUAUAAAACCACAAAACCAGUUCCUUGCAAAACUCUAUCAUCAUCGUCGUCGUCAUUAUCAUCGUCACCGUGGAUGAGCCGAAGCUGAUAGGAGGAGUGAGGAUACACAAGCAACUGAUGCCACACCAUUGGCCACCCCCAAGGCAUGGAGCACAACACUCCCUUUUGACUUCUAUUUAAAUUAAAUUAAUCAAUUAAUUACAUAAAACCUCACCCCUACACAAAAAAAACAUUAACCCAAAAGAACCCCCAAAAAAAUUAAACCUAAAAACACCCAAACGAAAACGAAAAAAAAAAAAAACACCAACACCACCCCCUCUCUAAUCAACCCCGUUCCCUACCCCAACCUCCACCCAAACCCCAACCCGCCCCCCUCACACCCACGUGGGCCCCACCAACCCCUGGCCCCACCCGUCAGCGAGCGGCAGCGUACGCCACCCGCGUGGCCGUGCCUUUCCCCUAAUCAAAUCCAGCGGAUAUUUUUGACGUCCGCGUCUCGCCAUUUUCUCCUCCCUCUCUCUCUCUCUCUCUCCUCCGUUUUUGUUUUUGUUUUCUUUUUCUUCUUUCUCUCUCCUCCUCCUCCUCCUCUCUUCCUCUCCGCAGAGGAGAAAACCAAAUCCCAUCGCGAAGGCGAGAGAGAGAGAGAGAGAGAAGAAAAAAAGCGAGAGGAGUAAUAAACUCGCGAGGUUUUAUUUUAUUUUAUUUUAUUGUGUAAAUUUGGCCCACGGCGGCGGCGGCGGAGUUGGCGGCGGCGGCGGGGCUAAACCCUAGCCGAAGUGGCGGUGCCGGUGGUGGGCGGCGGCAGCGGCGAUUUGGCGGGUGGACGAGCUCCGGAUCGCCGGAUUCGUGGCGGGGAGGUGAGUGCGUGGAGUUUGUGGCGGUGUGCUUGUGUUGUUGUUGUUGGUGGUGGUGGUGGUGAGGUGUGAGGUGAGGUGGGGUGGCUUGCUGCUGUUGCUGUUGCUGCUGCUGCUGCUGCUUCUGGUGCUAAAUUUUGCGCGGGUUUGCGGGGUUGGGAGGCGAGGGAUGCGAUCUGGGGGGUGUUCGGGGAGCUCGGCGUUGCUUAAUUCCGCUGAUGGUUUCUGCGCGUGUUUCUUCGUUUUCGGGGUGGAUUCGGUGGUGGUUUUGUUGCGCUCGGUGUUGUUGUUGCGGGAGGGGGAGGUUGGGUUUGGUGCUCGCUGGUGCUGGUUUUCGGUUGGCUUUUUGGGCGAUGGAGUUUGACACAGUAGAUUUGUUCUGGUAAUGGUGGUGUAGAUCCCGUGGUUGUGUUCUGAGGUUGCAAUCUGUGGUUUGUUUUCAGGGGGAUGACCGCUUGUUCUUGCUCAAUUCCGGUGGAUCUUACGGUGGAAGGAUGGCGAGCUGAGUGAAGGCGCGCGUGAUCUUGCAGCGGUUUGUGCGGGGGAGGUUUGGAGCACUUUGUCAUUGCCGGCAAGGAUGGUGCCGUCGGGGCCGCCGAACCCGAUGGGUCCUGGGCAGCCGGUUGGCGCGGCCUCGUUGCUCAGGACGAGCUCCAGCCUGCUCAGCGGCGGCCAGCAGGGGAUGGGCAGUGGCGGAGGCAUGCUUCCUUCGCAGUCGCCCUUCUCGUCCCUCGUGUCGCCGCGCACGCAGUUUGGUGCUAAUGGCCUGCUGGGAGGUGGCUCCAAUGUUUCCUCCCUGCUCAACCGGCCGUUUGGGAAUGGGGGACAUAUGCUCGGUCCGGGGUCGAUGCCAGGUGGUGGUGGGCUUCCAAUGAAUACCCUCCAGCAGCAGAGAGGAGGGCUUGAUGGUGCUGGCGAUUUGGUUGGCGCGGGAGGUUCUGAUUCUCUCUCGUUCCCUUCAUCGUCGCAAGUUAGUUUGGGCAAUCAGCUGGGUUCAGAUAAUCUGCAUCCACCACCGCAACAUCAGCAGCAACAACAACACCUGGAUGCUAUGCAGGACUUGCAGCACCAGCAUCAGCAUCAGCAGCAACUGCCAAUGUCUUACAACCAACAACAGUUGCCACCGCAACCGCCACAGCAGCCGCAGGCUACAGUGAAGUUGGAGAAUGGUGGCAGCACAGGUGGGGUCAAAUUGGAACCGCAGAUGGGGCAGCCUGACCAGAAUAGCACAGCCCAGAUGAUGCGCAAUGCUAGCAAUGUUAAAAUUGAGCCGCCGCAGUUGCAAGCUUUGAGGAGUUUGAGUGCGGUGAAGAUGGAGCAGCAGAGUUCAGACCCAUCAGCAUUCCUGCAACAGCAACAGCAGCAGCAACAUUUGCUGCAGCUGACAAAGCAGAAUCCUCAAGCUGCUGCGGCAGCUCAACUGAACCUUUUGCAACAGCAACGGAUAUUGCAAAUGCAGCAACAACAGCAGCAACAACAACAGAUUCUAAAGAAUCUGCCUUUGCAGAGAAACCAAUUACAACAGCAACAACAGCAGCAGCAGCAACAGCAGCAGCUACUUCGCCAACAGAGUCUAAACAUGAGAACUCCAGGAAAAUCGGCUCCUUAUGAGCCAGGAACCUGUGCAAAGAGAUUGACUCAUUACAUGUAUCAUCAACAAAACAGGCCACAGGUAAGUUUUCGGCUUUUUCCAAACAAUUAAUUUAGUGUAUAGUGAAGGCCAUGGGCUUACAGUUUUGUGUCUCUACUUGUUCCUUUUGAUGCAGGAUAACAAUAUCGAGUACUGGAGAAACUUUGUCAAUGAGUAUUUUUCUCCAAAUGCUAAAAAAAGGUGGUGUGUAUCUCUCUAUGGAAGUGGUCGUCAAACUACUGGAGUUUUCCCUCAGGUUUCAUGAGCCGUUGCUGACUUGUCAUUUUUUAAAUCUGGAAUAUCCAUUCUGUUUUUCAUAUAUUUCAUUAAUGCUUCUGGUCUAUUAUUUUAAUUGGCAGAUGUGAAGUAGCGCCUCAUAUUUUUAAUUUCCUUUCAAAUUAUUCGUUAAAGAUUUCUAUAUUUGCCCUUGUAGGAUGUAUGGCAUUGUGAGAUAUGCAAUCGGAAGCCUGGGCGAGGCUUUGGUAAGCAUCAUUUUAAUUUGCACAUGUUUCUCUGUUAAUCUGCUUUUUACAUCCACUUACGUGACUACCUUAACAGAGACCACCGUUGAGGUGUUACCACGAUUAUGCCAAAUUAAAUAUGCCAGUGGUACAUUGGAAGAAUUACUAUAUGUCGACAUGCCACGUGAAUCGCAGAAUGCCUCUGGUCAGAUUGUUUUGGACUAUACCAAAGCAAUCCAGGAAAGUGUCUUUGAGCAGUUGCGUGUGGUACGCGAAGGACAUCUAAGGAUAGUUUUUAAUCCUGAUCUCAAGGUAUUAUAUUUUUUUUGAUUUUUUUUUGUCACUGGUGGUCCUUUAAAGUUGCUGGUAUGAUAAAUGGCGCCUUUUUGACUAAAGCAUGUUUCCUUUUAUUGAAGAUCGCUUCUUGGGAGUUUUGUGCAAGGCGUCACGAGGAGCUUAUUCCACGUAGAUCAAUAAUCCCACAGGUAUUUAGCCCUUUCACUGUAUGCAUAUUUUUAUUCAAGUCAGAUGUCUCAUUUUGAUAUUCUGAAUUUUGGGCAAAACGGGAAAGGGUUUAAUAUAUUUUGGAACCCUCGGUGUUCUAUGCAGGUUAGUCAACUGGGCGCAGUUGUGCAAAAAUACCAGAGUGCUGUUCAAAAUUCGACAAAUUUGUCAACUCAAGACAUGCAGAAUAAUUGCAACUCGUAAGGAGACUGUCUCUGAUGCACACAAUACUUUCCAUCUUCAGUGUGUUGCAAAAUCAUUAAUGCUUUAUCCACCUUGUUCCUACAUGCAUAUUUUUGUGUUCUUCUGAAAUCUAUCUUAUUAGCAAAGAAGCUAGCGUGUCUACUCAUGUAAAUACUUUUUUAACUCAAUACUAGCAUGAACUGCCUUGCAAAAUGGGACGUAGCCACUGUGUCAUCCUUCGAGUUUAGGGCCAACCAGCCAAGCUGUAAAAAUAGUUAAAUACUAUUCAUGGCCUAACCAUUUAGAUCCUAUGGCUGUUGUGGUUGAUUUGGUUAGCAUAUGGCCUUUGACAACCAUACCAUAUCAGCAGGAUGUAGGCCACAUAGUGAUGGAUUGGGUUGGAUUGGUUGAUCAUCCUUAGGGUCGGCUUGGCGGCAGUGGAGUGGCUUCAACUCAUUAGCAGGUCCACUUGCAGAUUGGUCUCUACAGCAUUACAACUGGUGUUAGGAUUGCACCCCGGUUAGAAUUAUUUAUUACCUCUUUUGAGGUGGGGUGAUAUUGUGCUUAAGGCAUGGUUGUCAAGUCGUUACUACUAGUAUUAGGCUGCACUGAGUAGGUGCAAAAAUAGUUCUCUGAGACUAAGUCUGUGUUUAGACUAUCCUCAACAUGACAGGUGGCAUAAUCGCCAUGUACAAGUAGUUAAUUUUAGUGUAUGUUAGUGCUUUGAGGAUGGGUCUAAAGUCUAAACAGAGACCUGGUCUCUAGGAUAGGUUUAGUGGGCCAUUUUUUCCUUUUUCAUUGUUCUUUUUACUGGCUUUAGUUGGUAUAUGAUGGAUUUCACUGAAUAUAACUACUGUUAGAUGCUGACUAGGCACCUGCCUAGUGUCCAAGUGCCCCCAAAGUGCCAGAAGACACAGUGCUGUGCGAAUGGCAUGAGCCUUAAAUACGUGGUAUUCUGGUCCACUGGUUGAGUUCAACAUGUCAUGGUAGUUAUGUACUGUACUCUGUGGUGUAGGCAGUCCUGCUUGUAGUACACUAUUGAAUUACUGAAUUACAUGCACAAGUCACCUUUUUUGUGCGAGACCAGGAUUUGAACCCUGGUUGGUAGAUUCUCACUGGAAGGCAUUUACCACCAUGCUACAAGCACAUUUGCCUCAACAUCUUGAAUGACUUGAAACUUUUUAGAAAUCAAGCAAUAAACUGGAUAGAAGGUCCUUCAUGGCUACAUGCAUACAUCGUUUAUUCAUGUAGUAGAUGGUAUUUUACUUGUUUGAAAUGUUCCGUGGAAAUCUCAUUUGUUUCUUUUCUAAUUGGAUCUCAGGCAAAUUAUGCCUGAUAAGAAAGUUACAACUAUUGAGGAGCACCUACAGUGGUCUAGUUAGAAGGCAAGUUAUUGUCACAGUAUAAGCAGCAUUAUCCAAAGACUACAGCGUAAUAUGUAGAAUCAACAUAUUUUGUGUUACAUAUUCUGCAUGUUUGACAUGUACGUUGACCCAUAUGGGUGAAAUAUUUAUUAAAAUAUAUAGUUGAGGCUACAGAAUGAGAUGUUUUUAAAAACAUGCUUCUUUCAAUGCCACUGUAGUAUGCGAAGGAGUUGCACGAAACAAAGUGGUGGGUAUAACCACUGAUUUUUUGAAGGUUUGCUACCCAGUGUUUUUGGUUUAGUUUAGCUCACUGACUAUCCUCCAAAAAGGUUAAGCUUCCAGGGGAACACUGACCAUUUAUUCACAUCCAGGCUCAUCUCAGGCCUACGAUGUGGAUGUUUAGAUGAUGUUGGGAUGUGUGUACAGAAAAACUAUAAGCGUAAAGCAUUCUGGAUCUAUGGGUGUAUGGUUAUUCUUACUGUUCUAGCACCGUGUGUUCUUUUACUAUGAUAGGGGAGAUGGAUAAUUUAUGUAUACUUAAGAGUUUCCAUAAAAGGGGACCUUAAUCCAUUUCUGAGAUCUUUUUGAAGUACAAGAAUAUAGUAUGCAUGAUUUGCUCAUCUGGUACAUCUGAUGGAACACAUCUAAUUAAACACGAUCCAAUUAUUACAUUGGGGAUGUGACUGUAUCAUGGUGAAUUUGGAACAGCGGAAUAAUUACAUUAAAAUGCUGUUGCUACAGAAGAUAGUGUUUUAGUGGUAGGUAUCUUGGAGACUCGGAUUACACACAUGGUGCUGGAUAUUACGGUGGCAUGCCCAAGCAGAUGUUUCACAUGUGAUCUGUUUAUCAUCUGAUUAUUUUCCUCUGUAGAGAAGUCACCAUCUAUUGACAAAAAAAACAAUUGUUGUUGUUUUUUAAGUUACGACCAAAUAGUUGGGAGUCCUUAAAGAAGAGGUGGUGAUGGAGUGUGCUCUACAACUUUUUCUUCACUUUCAGAUCUUUCAAGCGUGCACUUGAAGGAUCUUUUUGCAUUUGAGGAUUCUUUUUUGCUUUUUUUCACUUUAGUGCUUUUGGUAUGUUUGCUUCCGAACAUUAUUUUGCUUCUUUAAUAAAUUAUAUGUCACAGAAAAACUUAUGAGGGUAGACCAAUUUGUGCCUUUUAGGGCUCACUUUCCUUUUUCACUGUUGUUUAUGUACCAAGUCUGUUGAUUUUGUUUUUCUGUUUGAUUCUUUUUUGGGAUAAUUGACAUUUGAGUACUGCAAAUUGUACUUAUUUUUCAAUCUUUUACUAUUAGGUUUGUUGCAUGUGCCCGCCAAUUGGCUAAAGCACUGGAGGUGCCUUUGGUAAAUGAUCUGGGAUACACAAAACGAUAUGUGCGCUGCCUUCAGGUACACUUAUACAUGGUUCUGUUUUUAUUCACCUGUUCUGUAUUUCUACAUCCAACAAAUUUAGAUUAUUGUCAUAUGCAAAAGUUGGUAUUUUUUACAUAGGACUAUUAUCAUUCUUUGUUGUGGGCCUUUGGCACCUGUUGCCAUUCUCUAUUUCGUUAAACUAAUUUAUCUGACCUAUUGUUUUGUCAUCCAAAACAUUGAUACUUCCAGAUUGCUGAGGUGGUAAACUGUAUGAAAGAUUUGAUUGAUUAUAGCAGGCAAAAUGGGUCUGGACCAAUUGGUACGCCAUUUUUAUCUUCUGUUUACUAUGCAGUCUCAUCUGAUCUCAUGUCAUCUUGUUUAGCAUCAAGUAAUCUUCACAUAUUGUAUGAUCAUCCACUUGUACUCCUACAGCUCCUUCAUUUGUUUUCUUUUGAUUGUACAUUCUAUUCACCAUUUUUUAUCAAGACAAGUUUCCAGGCCGUACAAUUUUUGUUCAUGCCCCCAGUCCCCCAAAUUUGGUUGUUUAAUUAAUAAGGAAGUAACAUGCUGUUAUUGAUCUGUCACAACUUUCAACCUGUGACUAAGAUGUGUUUGAAAUGAGACAGUUGAUAGAGGGCUGAUUUCCUGUAUUUUCCUAGUUGCCUUUUCUCCAGAUCUUUAUUCAUUUUUUUUUGUUUAUUCAACCUUCAAUAAAACAUGUGAAAUGAGCUUAUUCUGAAAUACCUUAUAAAUACCCCAAACUGGUGGCUCUCUGACUAUAAUAUUAGGAUGACUGAACUGGCUCCCUUGCUGAUUUUUACUCCUAGCCAAAGAACAUGGUAGUCUGUUGCUAUAGUGUUAACUGUAUUUUACAGCCUUAUUAAUGUUACCACUUGUUUUGUGCAUAUUUAACAUCUACUACUAUUAAUUGUUUCAGCUAGUUUGCAUAGCUUUCCUCGGAGGACUUCAUCAGGAGGGGUAAACCCUCAACAGUCACAGCAGCAACAGCCUGAAGAACAGCAAUCUAUCCCGCAGAGUUCAAACCAGAGUGGUCAAAAUGCUGCUCCCAUGACUGGUGUGCAGGCUUCUGCCUCUGCAAAUGCAGAUGUGACAUCAAAUAAUUCUCUCAGCUGUGCACCCUCAACGUCUGCACCUUCACCGUCCGUUGUUGGGCUCCUCCAAGGUUCAAUGAACUCUAGACAAGAUCAUCCAAUGAGCAGUGCUAAUGGUCCAUAUACCAGUGGAAACAGUGCUGCAAUUCCCAAGGUGAACUCGACAACCUCACUGCAGUCAACUCCAUCUACCUCUUUUCCUUCACCAGUGCCAACAACAUCCAAUAACAACAUGAUGCCUGCCCCUCAGAACACAAACCAACUCAGCUCCCCAACCGCAUCAUCAAACCUACCGCCAAUGCAGCCACCUGCUACUCGACCUCAGGAGCCUGAUCCAAAUGAGUCCCAAAGCUCGGUUCAGAGAAUAUUGCAAGAUUUGAUGAUGUCACCGCAGAUGAAUGGUGUUGGCCAGCUUGGGAAUGACAUGAAAAGACCGAACGGACUUACAUCUAGUGUUAACGGAGUUAAUUGUUUAGUUGGUAAUGCUGUUACAAAUAACUCAGGAAUGGGAGGAAUGGGGUUUGGGGCCAUGGGUGGGCUUGGUCCAAAUCAUGCAGCUAGUGGAUUGAGAACUGCAAUAGCGAACAAUGCGAUGGCAAUUAGUGGUAGGAUGGGAAUGAAUCACAGUGCACAUGACCUAUCACAGUUGGGCCAACUACAGCAGCAACAGCAACAUCAACAUCAACAUCAACAUCAACAUCAACAGCAACAGCAGCAGCAGCAGCAGCAGCAACAUGACUUAGGAAACCAACUGUUGAGUGGACUUAGAGCAGCAAACAGCUUCAAUAACCUUCAGUAUGACUGGAAACCAUCUCAAUAAAGAUAGAACAUUACAAGUUUGAUAUGACGACGUGGCUGCUCUCACUGGGUUCAUUGCUUAUGGAGCACAAGUAACAGUGCCGACACCUCGAACUGUGUCAAAGCAUUUGGUCUUUGCAAUAAUGCUGUCAUGGAAAAAGGAAUCAUUCGCGACAGCAAAGCAUCUGAGCCCUGUCAACUGUAUGUUGUAACUGUUCGUUUAGCUGCUUGUGUAUUGUGCAACUAUGGCAUUUUGCUGCCUGCUUCAGUUGUCUUACUGAAAGAUAGAGUUAAAAGGAUUAGAGCCUUGCCUUGCAUCUGCCACCAUCCUUGAUGGUACGGUGUUACUCCUUACCCGGAAAAGAAGUUUUCCCUCCCUUUUUUUCCAUGUCAGAUGACAUCCGAUAUGUAAUUUAUCAUCCCCUCCGCCUUCCACCCUUAGCAAGCAUAUGUGCUGAUAUCUUUCUUUGCCUAAGGAUUCUCUCUCUUUGUAGCCUUACUUGACUUUGUAUAAGCUGCCAUAAUUUAGUAGUGGAAAAAGUAUCAGGAAUGUUUUCGUAGGCUUUGUCGCGAGAUUCGACUGGCAAGAAAACUGGCAUUCUUUCUUGAUUUUACCGAAAGAUUUCAGCCAUUGUGGUGGAUAUUUUUCUUGAAAUAUUCAGGUUGACCUGUCCAUCUGGUUUCAACCAGUGUGGUGGAG
rnacentral:lncRNA from 1 species